rnacentral:rRNA from 1 species
GACGAACGCUGGCGGCGUGCUUAACACAUGCAAGUCGAACGGGUCUGCCCUGUUUUUUGCGGGGUGGGUCAGUGGCAAACGGGUGAGUAACACGUGAGUAACCUGCCCCUCACUUCUGGAUAACCGCUUGAAAGGGUGGCUAAUACGGGGUGUUCUGGCUGUGCCGCAUGGUGUGGCUGGGAAAGAUUCACUUUUGUGGUGUUUUGGUGGGGGAUGGGCUCGCGGCCUAUCAGCUUGUUGGUGGGGUGAUGGCCUGCCAAGGCUUUGACGGGUAGCCGGCCUGAGAGGGUGGGCGGUCACACUGGGACUGAGAUACGGCCCAGACUCCUGCGGGAGGCAGCAGUGGGGGGUAUUGCACAAUGGGCGGAAGCCUGAUGCAGCGACGUCGCGUGAGGGAUGGAGGCCUUCGGGUUGUGAACCUCUUUCGCCGGUGAAGAAGGUCCUGCUCUUUGUGGUGGGGUUGACGGUAGCCGGGUUAUGAAGCGCCGGCUAACUACGUG